rnacentral:rRNA from 1 species
UACGUAGGGGGCAAGCGUUGUCCGGAUUUAUUGGGCGUAAAGAGCGUGUAGGCGGCCAUACAGGUCAGCUGUGAAAACUCGAGGCUCAACCUCGAGACGUCGGUUGAAACCGUAUGGCUAGAGUCCGGAAGAGGAGAGUGGAAUUCCCGGUGUAGCGGUGAAAUGCGCAGAUAUCGGGAGGAAUACCGAUGGCGAAGGCAGGUCUCUGGGCUGACACUGAGACGCGAAAGCGUGGGGAGCAAACAGG